rnacentral:rRNA from 1 species
CCUACGGGAGGCAGCAGUGGGGAAUAUUGCACAAUGGGGGAAACCCUGAUGCAGCGACGCCGCGUGAGUGAAGAAGUAAUUCGUUAUGUAAAGCUCUAUCAGCAGGGAAGAAAAUGACGGUACCUGAGCAAGAAGCCCCGGCGAACUACGUGCCAGCAGCCGCGGUAAUACGUAGGGGGCCAGCGUUAUCCGGAUUUACUGGGUGUAAAGGGAGCGUAGACGGCAGUGCAAGUCUGGAGUGAAAGGCGGGGGCUCAACCCCCGGACUGCUCUGGAAACUGUACGGCUGGAGUGCAGGAGAGGUAAGUGGAAUUCCUAGUGUAGCGGUGAAAUGCGUAGAUAUUAGGAGGAACACCAGUGGCGAAGGCGGCUUACUGGACUGUAACUGACGUUGAGGCUCGAAAGCGUGGGGAGCAAACAGGAUUAGAUACCCCAGUAGUC